CGUUUUUCCUCUCUGGGUCAAACACAAGCUAGCAACUGCAGAAACGAAGUAUGAAAAAGCUCAUAAACAAGCUGCAUUUGCUCUAAAACGUUUUAGCCUUCGGGAGCUUUCAUAUUGAGAACAUCACACGUACGCACACCAGAGACUAAGGGAACAAAACAAACAUCAAAAAGACGGGAAGUAAACCACAAAGACUUGCUGUCCUCUGUAAGAUGGAUGUUUGCGUUCCCAGGGCAGAUGGCCCUGCUGUUCCUGGGUGUACCCUAUUCCUGCACUUUAACAUCCGGCCUGCUUGUCUGCUGUGACGAGGUGCUGCCUGGGGAAAGAUCUCGUAACUUGUACACGCUGCUGCAAACCGCAUGGGUACUCACACCUCUUUUUAUUGAAGGAAGUCUUAUCUUAGUACAUUUAUUUGCACUCAAUGCAACACAUUGGAAUUUUUAGCUCCAUUUGCUAAAGUGCCAAGACAUCCUGCUUUCCGAGUACAUGUCCACAUCUUGGCAACUUAAAAAUGUGUCCUGGAUUUCUUUUCAUCUGUUGGCAUGUAGUAUUCCACAGCACUAUAACUUGUGUUUCCCUUUAGUUCUAGCGUUCUGGCACUGUAUUUGGGAACAAGUCAUUAUCAGUCAUCGGCUGGUCUACAUGAUCGCUCCAUUCUGUCACAGUCUUAACUUAGUGUACACGUCGGACAUUACACGUGGCACGUCUGAAUGACACUUUUACACAACUUUAUUCUCGUAAAAUCAUGAGUUUUAUCUAAA